GGUGGGGUUGGGUUAUCUUAACCAUAACCCCUGUUUGGACGUAGGGUUAUGGAAACCCUAGUUUUAGGGUUUACAUAAUACUCGUAUUAUCCCUCAAACCUCCCAUUCUCUCAUAUGCCCACUUGCGGAUUUCUCUCCCUCAUCAUCUCCUUCAAUCCGUGUUCGUCUUCCCUUCGAUCCCUCUUUCCCUUCAAUUCGAUUGUUCUUCUUUCUUCUUCUCCCUCUACUCCUCCAUUGUCGAUUUGUCGUCCUUCUGUGUGAUAAGUUUUGCCGUUUCGUUUUUGCGCCUGAAAAAUCCAUCCCCUUCCCCUCUUCUUGUAAUUUCUCUUCACUUUGAUUGAUUGUGAAUUAUGAAUUUUUUAUGCCCUCUUCUUGGCCACCUAGAAUCUGUUCCUUAUAGAUCGUUUUGUCUCUUCAGUCCUUUUGAUUGUUGUUGGACUUUUCUAUGCUUUUAUUUUGUCAUUUGUAGAGAUCCCUUGUGGUUUUUGGUAUGUGGUCAUUAAAGGCAUCAUAACUUCCUUUAUCCCCCUAUAUAUACACCUUUCCUCUUUCGCCAUAUUACUUGCAUUUGGACUUCAUUGUCCGCCUUCUUCUGUCUUUUGCUAUGUUCUCUUUGGUAGGUCACUUUUUGUUUCCAUAUUUUGAUCAUUCUCCAUCCCUUUCUGCCUUCUUUUGUAUGUAUAAUCCAUGUUGUCAUUGAUGUCACUCAGGUCCAUUCAUCGACGUACAAGGUAUGUAUUUGUUAUCUUUCUUUUUCUUUUCAACAACUCCACUAAUUUACAAUACUUCAUGGGCACGUCCCUUUGUCAUUUACUAAUCUUGUUUUUCUUAUGUUGGACGUUGGCCUUCAUAAUAUCCUUGUAAGAGGUACUACAGAUUAGCCGUUUGUAGUUCAUUUAUUCGGUUUGUUGUCGUUUUGUUUCAUUUAUCGUUAUGAAAAUAUAAUUUAAUUUCAAUUGUUCCCAAAAAAAACUUUCGAUUUUGUAAUUUGGCACUUUUUGGUUUUGUAUUGACACUAUAUUUCACGUUAUGUAGAAUAUUUGUCGUAUGUUUUCAUUC